GAUUGCCCCAGUAACGGCGAGUGAAGCGGCAACAGCUCAAAUUUGAAAUCUGGCCCCCAGGGCCCGAGUUGUAAUUUGCAGAGGAUGCUUUUGGUGAGGCACCUACCGAGUCCCCUGGAAUGGGGCGCCACAGAGGGUGAGAGCCCCGUAUGGUAGGACGCCGAACCUCUGUAAAGCUCCUUCGACGAGUCGAGUAGUUUGGGAAUGCUGCUCUAAAUGGGAGGUAAAUUUCUUCUAAAGCUAAAUACCGGCCAGAGACCGAUAGCGCACAAGUAGAGUGAUCGAAAGAUGAAAAGCACUUUGAAAAGAGGGUUAAAAAGUACGUGAAAUUGUUGAAAGGGAAGCGCUUGUGACCAGACUUGCGCCUGGCGGAUCAUCCAGCGUUCUCGCUGGUGCACUCCGCCAGGCUCAGGCCAGCAUCGGUUCUCGCCGGGGGACAAAGGCUUCGGGAACGUGGCUCCUUUCGGGGAGUGUUAUAGCCCGUUGCGUAAUACCCCGGCGGGGACCGACGACCGCGCUUCGGCAAGGAUGCUGGCGUAAUGGUCAUCAGCGACCCGUCUUGAAACACGGACCGAGGAGUCAAGCAUUAGUGCGAGUGUUUGGGUGUAAAACCCGCACGCGUAAUGAAAGUGAACGUAGGUGAGAGCUUCGGCGCAUCAUCGACCGAUCCUGAUGUUUUCGGAAGGAUUUGAGUAGGAGCAUUAACGCUUGGACCCGAAAGAUGGUGAACUAUACUUGAAUAGGGUGAAGCCAGAGGAGACUCUGGUGGAGGCUCGCAGCGGUUCUGACGUGCAAAUCGAUCGUCAAAUUUGAGUAUAGGGGCGAAAGACUAAUCGAACCAUCUAGUAGCUGGU
rnacentral:rRNA from 1 species